rnacentral:lncRNA from 1 species
UGCAUAGUGGGCACCCAAGUGAAGGAUCCUGCUGUGUACUCAGGGGCUGGUGUUGCUGUCAGGGAUGUUAGCCUAGAGCCUCAGCUUCCUGUAAAAUGAGGAUGAUGAUAUCCAACAGCUUAUGGGACCUUGCAGAAGUCCCAGCAUUUUUCAUCUUUCAAUCUCACCUCCUUUUCCUGAUAAUAGAGAGGCAACAAGAACUCAGGGCAUGCAAUGGGGCUCAACUUCUACUCUCUGCCACAAUUUCAUCAUGAUUCCCCCAAAGAGCAGAGCCCCAGGAGCCAGCAGGGGGCAGGGUGGGCAUUUCUGG